CUGCUACUUUGUAGGGAAGUGGGUAUGACCCUCUCACAAUUAUACAUAUUUUUCUGCCUUCGUUUGAAAUCUCGGGUGAGGUAUGUCAAUCUCAUUUGUGUUGCUACCGUAGGUGCUUUGAAUUUAUUCAUGCUAGCUUUGCACCAUGUGUUAUUUUUCAUAGCAGGGUGAUAGUUAGCAUUGCUUUUAGUUACAAAUAUAUUGAUUUAGCACUGAAUUUGAGGAUCUAUAGAAAAGUUUUUAACAUCGGCAAGGAUCUUUACAAUUCAUCACUGCAGAGAUAUUUGUUCCACUAAUUCCCCUUAUGUUGUGCUGCAGGUGGUGGUUACUUACAUGAUAGAGAUAUUUUUUUUCAUGGUUACUUGUGCUUGAUAUAUACUUAUCGUCUACCUGGAUGUCAUGGUAACUUCAUUUGUGGUUGAUAAUACGAAAGCCACCGGCAUCAUCUGACGCAUCUGGAACAAAUAAUAGGCAUACUUUGUAGAAAGCAAGGAUACAAGUACCAAAUAGUAUUAUCUAUGUUGAAGCAGAACAUGGGAUAGAUAUCACCUACCUGAAACUGCAGAGUAAGUUAAUUCAGCUGGAUAACUUCAAUGCUUUUGCCACGACUGAGACCGAGAGGUAUGGACCGUAUGGUGAACAAAUCACUCUAUCUAUCAACCUAACACGAGAACUAUUUGCGAAAUUAACCACCUAUGGGGCUUGUCUGUAGGUUUUGCCUCGGCUACCUGUGUAGAUAAGUAUUGCAUCUUUUAUUCCUGCUUUAGCUUUUACCAACCAUAUCUGGAUGAAGUGUCUUCCUUCAAAAUCAACUCUAAAACAUCAUUACAUUUACUUCAUUCCUCAUGCCAUGCCUCCCAGCCUUUUAUAUCCAUUCAACACCGUAUUGUAACCCUCUUAAACACUUUAUGAUUUCACAUAUUGUCUUCGUUGUUACUGAAAAGUUGUUCACGUAGAGGUUGUCAAGAUUGUAUCCACUAUGCCCGAGGACAUGCUGAAGAAGUUGCAGGUCCAGUCAUAUUGUCUUAGUGGCUUUUAUGGCUCUUUAAGUUUCCUCAGCCAUCGCCUUUAGGGGGCAAAUUUGUUAAACAGUGCUGGUUCCAGCAAGUACGAUUACGAUUUCGCUCGGCUUAAUGUAAAAUGUCACUCUGUUGGUCUCUCGGCUUAUUAUAAAGUGUUUCGCAAAAUGUUUUACCCAA